rnacentral:lncRNA from 1 species
AUUUUCUACAUCCAAUUCAGGAUGCCACUGGCUCUAACAGCAGAAAGAAACCAUGAGCUGCAGUGGUUGCAAUUCAGGAGAGCUCUGGGCUGAGUGACUGUGUGAAGUAAACAUGGGGCCAGACAGAAACUCUCUGGCUGCAGACCAGACGCAGCACUGCUCCUGCCAGCAGUGGGCUGAUUGCUUGUGGAAUGUCCAAAUAUCUUCAGUCUUUUCAGCACUAUUAAAAUAA